rnacentral:rRNA from 1 species
UACGUAGGGUGCGAGCGUUAAUCGGAAUUACUGGGCGUAAAGCGUGCGCAGGCGGUCUGUUAAGACCGAUGUGAAAUCCCCGGGCUUAACCUGGGAACUGCAUUGGUGACUGGCAGGCUUUGAGUGUGGCAGAGGGAGGUAGAAUUCCACGUGUAGCAGUGAAAUGCGUAGAGAUGUGGAGGAAUACCGAUGGCGAAGGCAGCCUCCUGGGCCAACACUGACGCUCAUGCACGAAGCGUGGGAGCAAACAGG